rnacentral:lncRNA from 1 species
UUUUAAUUUCCGGGGCCGUUACAGUUGGCAUCACAGCCGCGUUCCUCGAACCCAUCCCUUACACAAUAAUACUUAGAGGAAUACUAAACUGAAAUUUAUUACUCAACCCUUCCUUGUGAAAUGCAGGUGUAGAGAGAUGAGGAGAUGGAGACCCUCACUAAACCGAGCAGCCCGGGAUGAUUCAUUUCGGGAAGAUGUUGACAGAAUAUUUGAGAUGCUCGAAGGGAUCAUUGCUGCUCAGCAAGGUCGAGAGGAGAGAAAGGAAUUAUCCGACCCUCCCCCACUACCACAGUUUGAGCCACGUUGCAGCGAGCGGAUCCCGAGCUACCUUGGCAAGAGCUUGCUCCUCCACAAUACCACCCGACACCACCGCCGCAGUAUAAUUCGGUGCCUCAGCCACAGUAUAAU